CUCUUGAGACUUCGUGGGAGGAGGUGGUUCCAUCUCUUGAAGACGGGGGAAGGUAGAGGGAGAGAGAAGGUAAAGUCCGUUGUGAUUGGGGAGAAACGGCACGUAUACGUCUAGAUCCCUCCUGUCCUCCUCACUAGACACCUCCGUUCCUUUCUCUCUGGCUACCUCAAACGACACCGCCGUAAAUCGAGCCAUCGACCGCAGCGGCACAGCUUCGA
rnacentral:rRNA from 1 species